AAAAAGGCAAACCCUGAAUUUUCGUGUCCAAUUUUAACUGUCCGUCUCAUAUAAAAUUUUUUUAUAAUUUGUAUUUUUAUUUUUGUUAGAUGAUAAGACAUGAUUAAUAUUUUAUGGGUGACUUAUCUUUUUUUUCAUAUUUUUUUUCAAAUAAGACGGACGGUCAAACGUUGGGCAUGGAAACCAGGGUUUGUCUUUUU
rnacentral:pre_miRNA from 1 species